rnacentral:rRNA from 1 species
UACGUAGGUGGCAAGCGUUGUCCGGAUUUACUGGGCGUAAAGAGCGCGCAGGCGGUCGUUCAAGUCGCGUGUGAAAGCCCCCCGGCUCAACUGGGGAGGGUCACGCGAUACUGAUCGACUCGAAGGCAGGAGAGGGAAGUGGAAUUCCCGGUGUAGUGGUGAAAUGCGUAGAUAUCGGGAGGAACACCAGUGGCGAAGGCGACUUCCUGGCCUGUUCUUGACGCUGAGGUGCGAAAGCUAGGGUAGCAAACGGG